GUAAAAGGAUAAGGGUUUGGUUGGGAUCGAAAUUCUUGCAGUUGUAAAUUUUGUGAAAUUUUGUUCAUGUUAUAGGGAUAUUAACAUGAAUGUCUUUAUAAUAUUAAGCGUGAUUUCACUUCUGCUAUGUUGUUUGCAAGUAGUUUCAGCCGACUGGGAUGAUUGGGACUGGGGCAUGGAGGACUGGGACAUGCCCGACCCAUGGGCAUGGGGAAUCUGGAAUCAUCACUUCAAUAAAAAGAUGGAUAACUUUUGGAUGCCAAAUCCAUUUCUAACUAAUUGGUUUAUGGACGACUUCAUGGAUUAAAAUAGAGUAAAGAAUACCUUGUGAUUGAUUUUAAAUUAGCUAGGAUCUGGGAAUAUAUAAACUAGAGUGAAGAUUAUAUGACUAGAAAUUAAGUCUGUGAAUUGAUCAUCUUUUGUUCUUGGGGCAUAUUGAAUGCAUGACGCUCGGUGAUAGUGGAUCGUUCUUUAAAUUGGUGAAAUGUUUCAUUAUUUAAUUGACAAAGUCCGAAUGAACUCGAAUGUGAUUAACUCUAUUUACAAAUAUGUGUCAGAAAUUAAAGUUAUAAUAUAAA